GCCCAGGUAGCUCAGUCGGUAGAGCAACGGACUGAAAAUCCGUGUGUCGACGGUUCAAUUCCGCCUCUGGGCACCA
rnacentral:tRNA from 1 species